AAAUGACAUAAUAAGCUCAAAAUGUCAUAAGAACCUUGGUUAGCUCAUGAAUAUUAUAUACUUAUCUUGUUUUCCUCUAAAAUGACAUAAUUAGCCCAUUUAGCUCCAAAAACAUACUUAGCUAAUUUAGCUCCAAGAAGAGGAGAAAUGAAAAAAAGUAAGAAGAAGAAAAGGAGAAGAAGAGAAGAAGAAGAAGAAGAAGGAGAAGAAGAAGGAGAAGAAGAAGGAGAAGAAGGAGG
rnacentral:lncRNA from 1 species